rnacentral:rRNA from 1 species
AUUGAACGCUGGCGGCAUGCCUUACACAUGCAAGUCGAACGGCAGCGGACCUUCGGGUGCCGGCGAGUGGCGAACGGGUGAGUAAAGUAUCGGAACGUACCUUUCAGUGGGGGAUAACUGUCCGAAAGGACAGCUAAUACCGCAUAUUCUGUGAGCAGGAAAGCAGGGGAUCGCAAGACCUUGCGCUGAUUGAGCGACCGAUAUCAGAUUAGCUAGUUGGUGAGGUAAAGGCUCACCAAGGCGACGAUCUGUAGCGGGUCUGAGAGGAUGAUCCGCCACACUGGAACUGAGACACGGUCCAGACUCCUACGGGAGGCAGCAGUGGGGAAUUUUGGACAAUGGGGGCGAACCCUGAUCCAGCCAUGCCGCGUGAGUGAAGAA